UGCAAGUUUCAGGGAAGGUGCGACUCCUUACUGGCGGUAACGGCUCAUCCGGGAUUCAUAACGGAUGAAGGCGAAGCCCGCAACCCGCGUACCCACGCGGUUGACCCGGUGAGAAUCCGGAGCCAACGGUUACAGUCCGGAUGGAAGAAACGAGGC
rnacentral:ncRNA from 2 species